GGCCCCGUCGUCUAGCGGUUAGGAUAUCUGGUUUUCAUCCAGGGGAUCGCGGGUUCGAAUCCCACCGGGGUCA
rnacentral:tRNA from 1 species